rnacentral:rRNA from 1 species
ACAGGUUUAACACAUGCAAGUCGAGGGGAAACGAUAUUGGAAGCUUGCUUCCGAUAGGCGUCGACCGGCGCACGGGUGAGUAACGCGUAUCCAACCUGCCCAUCACUUGGGGAUAACCUUGCGAAAGUAAGACUAAUACCCAAUGACGUCUCUAGAAGACAUCUGAAAGAGAUUAAAGAUUCAUCGGUGAUGGAUGGGGAUGCGUCUGAUUAGCUCGUUGGCGGGGUAACGGCCCACCAAGGCAACGAUCAGUAGGGGUUCUGAGAGGAAGGUCCCCCACAUUGGAACUGAGACACGGUCCAAACUCCUACGGGAGGCAGCAGUGAGGAAUAUUGGUCAAUGGACGAGAGUCUGAACCAGCCAAGUAGCGUGCAGGAAGACGGCCCUAUGGGUUGUAAACUGCUUUUAUAAGGGAAUAAAGUUAGUCUCGUGAGACUUUUUGCAUGUACCUUAUGAAUAAGGACCGGCUAAUUCCGUGCCAGCAGCCGCGGUAAUACGGAAGGUCCGGGCGUUAUCCGGAUUUAUUGGGUUUAAAGGGAGCGUAGGCCGGAGAUUAAGCGUGUUGUGAAAUGUAGACGCUCAACGUCUGCACUGCAGCGCGAACUGGUUUCCUUGAGUACGCACAAAGUGGGCGGAAUUCGUGGUGUAGCGGUGAAAUGCUUAGAUAUCACGAAGAACUCCGAUUGCGAAGGCAGCUCACUGGAGCGCAACUGACGCUGAAGCUCGAAAGUGCGGGUAUCGAACAGGAUUAGAUACCCUGGUAGUCCGCACGGUAAACGAUGGAUGCCCGCUGUUGGUCUGAAUAGGUCAGCGGCCAAGCGAAAGCAUUAAGCAUCCCACCUGGGGAGUACGCCGGCAACGGUGAAACUCAAAGGAAUUGACGGGGGCCCGCACAAGCGGAGGAACAUGUGGUUUAAUUCGAUGAUACGCGAGGAACCUUACCCGGGCUUGAAUUGCAGAGGAAGGAUUUGGAGACAAUGACGCCCUUCGGGGCCUCUGUGAAGGUGCUGCAUGGUUGUCGUCAGCUCGUGCCGUGAGGUGUCGGCUUAAGUGCCAUAACGAGCGCAACCCCUCUCCUUAGUUGCCAUCAGGUCAAGCUGGGCACUCUGGGGACACUGCCACCGUAAGGUGUGAGGAAGGUGGGG